AUAUUCUGUAGCAAGGUUAACCGUAUAGGGGAGCCGGAGGGAAACCGAGUCUUAAUUGGGCGUUAAGUUGCAGGGUAUAGACCCGAAACCCGGUGAUCUAGCCAUGGGCAGGUUGAAGGUUGGGUAACACUAACUGGAGGACCGAACCGACUAAUGUUGAAAAAUUAGCGGAUGACCUGUGGCUGGGGGUGAAAGGCCAAUCAAACCGGGAGAUAGCUGGUUCUCCCCGAAAGCUAUUUAGGUAGCGCCUCGUGAAUUCAUCUCCGGGGGUAGAGCACUGUUUCGGCUAGGGGGCCAUCCCGGCUUACCAACCCGAUGCAAACUGCGAAUACCGGAGAAUGUUAUCACGGGAGACACACGGCGGGUGCUAACGUCCGUCGUGAAGAGGGAAACAACCCAGACCGCCAGCUAAGGUCCCAAAGUCAUGGUUAAGUGGGAAACGAUGUGGGAAGGCCCAGACAGCCAGGAUGUUGGCUUAGAAGCAGCCAUCAUUUAAAGAAAGCGUAAUAGCUCACUGGUCGAGUCGGCCUGCGCGGAAGAUGUAACGGGGCUAAACCAUGCACCGAAGCUGCGGCAGCGAACGUAUCACCCAAGACAACUUUACGGAGUUGACGAUUGACGGAGCGAAGCGACGUCAAAGCGUUCAUUAAAGUCGAGUUGGCUUAGGGAUACGUUCGUUGGGUAGGGGAGCGUUCUGUAAGCCUGUGAAGGUGUGUCGUGAGGCAUGCUGGAGGUAUCAGAAGUGCGAAUGCUGACAUAAGUAACGAUAAAGCGGGUGAAAAGCCCGCUCGCCGGAAGACCAAGGGUUCCUGUCCAACGUUAAUCGGGGCAGGGUGAGUCGACCCCUAAGGCGAGGCCGAAAGGCGUAGUCGAUGGGAAACGGGUUAAUAUUCCCGUACUUGGUGUUACUGCGAAGGGGGGACGGAGAAGGCUAUGUUGGCCGGGCGACGGUUGUCCCGGUUUAAGCGUGUAGGUGUGUGUUCCAGGUAAAUCCGGUUCACUUUAACACUGAGGCGUGACGACGAGGCACUGCGGUGCUGAAGCAACAAAUGCCCUGCUUCCAGGAAAAGCCUCUAAGCAUCAGGUAACACGAAAUCGUACCCCAAACCGACACAGGUGGUCAGGUAGAGAAUACCAAGGCGCUUGAGAGAACUCGGGUGAAGGAACUAGGCAAAAUGGUGCCGUAACUUCGGGAGAAGGCACGCUGACACGUAGGUGAAGUGAUUUACUCAUGGAGCUGAAGUCAGUCGAAGAUACCAGCUGGCUGCAACUGUUUAUUAAAAACACAGCACUGUGCAAACACGAAAGUGGACGUAUACGGUGUGACGCCUGCCCGGUGCCGGAAGGUUAAUUGAUGGGGUCAGCGUAAGCGAAGCUCCUGAUCGAAGCCCCGGUAAACGGCGGCCGUAACUAUAACGGUCCUAAGGUAGCGAAAUUCCUUGUCGGGUAAGUUCCGACCUGCACGAAUGGCGUAAUGAUGGCCAGGCUGUCUCCACCCGAGACUCAGUGAAAUUGAACUCGCUGUGAAGAUGCAGUGUACCCGCGGCAAGACGGAAAGACCCCGUGAACCUUUACUAUAGCUUGACACUGAACAUUGAGCCUUGAUGUGUAGGAUAGGUGGGAGGCUUUGAAGUGUGGACGCCAGUCUGCAUGGAGCCGACCUUGAAAUACCACCCUUUAAUGUUUGAUGUUCUAACGUGGACCCGUAAUCCGGGUUGCGGACAGUGUCUGGUGGGUAGUUUGACUGGGGCGGUCUCCUCCUAAAGAGUAACGGAGGAGCACGAAGGUUGGCUAAUCCUGGUCGGACAUCAGGAGGUUAGUGCAAUGGCAUAAGCCAGCUUGACUGCGAGCGUGACGGCGCGAGCAGGUGCGAAAGCAGGUCAUAGUGAUCCGGUGGUUCUGAAUGGAAGGGCCAUCGCUCAACGGAUAAAAGGUACUCCGGGGAUAACAGGCUGAUACCGCCCAAGAGUUCAUAUCGACGGCGGUGUUUGGCACCUCGAUGUCGGCUCAUCACAUCCUGGGGCUGAAGUAGGUCCCAAGGGUAUGGCUGUUCGCCAUUUAAAGUGGUACGCGAGCUGGGUUUAGAACGUCGUGAGACAGUUCGGUCCC
rnacentral:rRNA from 1 species